rnacentral:rRNA from 1 species
AACGAACGCUGGCGGCAUGCCUAACACAUGCAAGUCGAACGAGACCUUCGGGUCUAGUGGCGCACGGGUGCGUAACGCGUGGGAACCUUCCCUUAGGUUCGGAAUAACUCCCCGAAAGGGGUGCUAAUACCGGAUAAUGUCUUCGGACCAAAGAUUUAUCGCCUUUGGAUGGGCCCGCGUUGGAUUAGCUAGUUGGUAGGGUAAAAGCCUACCAAGGCGACGAUCCAUAGCUGGUCUGAGAGGAUGAUCAGCCACACUGGGACUGAGACACGGCCCAGACUCCUACGGGAGGCAGCAGUGGGGAAUAUUGGAAAAUGGGCGAAAGCCUGAUCCAGCAAUGCCGCGUGAGUGAUGAAGGCCUUAGGGUUGUAAAGCUCUUUUACCCGGGAUGAUAAUGACAGUACCGGGAGAAUAAGCUCCGGCUAACUCCGUG